rnacentral:misc_RNA from 1 species
AAUAAAUCACAUACCCCCCAAAAAUAGCUACGCGGAUCACGUUUAUACCUCUUUAUUGUUGAUUUGUGUAGCGUAGUUGUAAUCAUCUUGUUACAUUUUUGCGGUCGGGUUGAUAGCGACUCAAGCAGCUAAAAUUUAAUAUUUAUAAGGACGUUAUGAUGAACUAAAAAUUAAAACUAUCAUCAUUUCAAAAUCUUAAAAACUAAAACAUCUCAAUGGAGCCGCUGCGAGUGGGUCGUUCACAUGAUUGGAUAAACUAAUACCAUAAAAGCUCACAGUAAAAUUAGAGUUUAAUUGGUAAGCACAGAAAGAAUACUAAUAGCUUAAAUUAAAUAACAAUAUUCCAAGGACGGAUUUAGUAGUAUGCGUCGAAUUCUAAAUGAUCAAAACAGGGUGUUAAACAGCCAACUUUCCUUUCUCAUGUCAUCUAUUUGUAAAAAACAAGAUAUAGCAAAAAGGAUAGAAAGGCUUCUUCCAAAAAUUCAUGGCCCCA